rnacentral:rRNA from 1 species
CACGUAGGGCGCAAGCGUUGUCCGGAAUUAUUGGGCGUAAAGAGCUCGUAGGUGGUUUGCUGCGUCCGCUGUGAAAACCCAAGGCUUAACCUUGGGCUUGCAGUGGAUACGGGCAGACUAGAGGUAGGUAGGGGAGAAUGGAAUUCCCGGUGUAGCGGUGAAAUGCGCAGAUAUCGGGAGGAACACCAGUGGCGAAGGCGAUCACCUGGGGUUGUUCUGACGCUGAGGAGCGAAAGCUAGGGGAGCAAACGGG